CCUACGGGUGGCUGCAGUGGGGAAUAUUGCACAAUGGGCGCAAGCCUGAUGCAGCCAUGCCGCGUGUGUGAAGAAGGCCUUCGGGUUGUAAAGCACUUUCAGCGGGGAGGAAGGCGUUAAGGUUAAUAACCUUGUCGAUUGACGUUACCCGCAGAAGAAGCACCGGCUAACUCCGUGCCAGCAGCCGCGGUAAUACGGAGGGUGCAAGCGUUAAUCGGAAUUACUAGGCGUAAAGCGCACGCAGGCGGUCUGUCAAGUCGGAUGUGAAAUCCCCGGGCUCAACCUGGGAACUGCAUUCGAAACUGGCAGGCUAGAGUCUUGUAGAGGGGGGUAGAAUUCCAGGUGUAGCGGUGAAAUGCGUAGAGAUCUGGAGGAAUACCAGUGGCGAAGGCGGCCCCCUGGACAAAGACUGACGCUCAGGUGCGAAAGCGUGGGGAGCAAACAGGAUUAGAUACCCUUGUAGUC
rnacentral:rRNA from 1 species